AUGGGGAGCACGUCGUACAUGUGAUACAGAACGAUAUUCCACUGAGCCGGAGUGCGUACUUCCGACCGCGGUUGCAUCUUGGCGCUCAUCCAGUAUAGAAGCACAGCAAGGGAGGUGACGUCAUAUCAGACGCGCGCUAUUGGGAGCGGCUGUCGACGGAACGAUAACGAGCGCGGUGCGGUGUGCCGACUCUCAUGCAUGGAUAUCUGCUAUGGAAAGUGGUGUGGAUGGAAAGCUAGGUAUAUUGUUGCGGUGCACAUGCUAUUGUAAUGGAUUUCGUUAGCACGGUUGGUUUGACUGACGUGUGGCUCUUGCUUGCACGGAAGGUAAUAAACAGCUAUUGGAACAGAACCGUGGACAUGGCGAGUUGGAUCAUAUCUCAGAAGAAGAUGGUGCGAACAGUAUUAUAAAGAGCAUUGAGAAGCUGAAUACAUAUGGGGAGUAAUUCAACGGUAAGCUGUGACAGCCACGGUGUAAAGCGCAGACGGAACAAGAAGGCCGGAAGACCUCCUGUACCUCUAAUUGGCUUUAAUUUCUUGGUGUUUCCGACGACAACACACGGAACCUUGCGAAAUCUGUCUACAACACUAGAGCCGUCUCGAGUUAUUUUUCU